rnacentral:rRNA from 1 species
UACGGAGGGUGCAAACGUUGCUCGGAAUCAUUGGGCGUAAAGCGCGCGUAGGCGGUUCGGCAAGUCGGGUGUGAAAGCCCUCGGCUUAACCGAGGAAGUGCAUUCGAAACUACCGAACUUGAGUACCGGAGAGGGUCGCGGAAUUCCCGGUGUAGAGGUGAAAUUCGUAGAUAUCGGGAGGAACACCAGUGGCGAAGGCGGCGACCUGGGCCAAUACUGACGCUGAGGUGCGAAAGCGUGGGGAGCAAACGGG